GAUGAACGCUGGCGGCGUGCCUAAUACAUGCAAGUCGAGCGAACAGACGAGGAGCUUGCUCCUCUGACGUUAGCGGCGGACGGGUGAGUAACACGUGGAUAACCUACCUAUAAUACUGGGAUAACCUCGGGAAACCGGCGCUAAUACCGGAUAAUAUAUUGAACCGCGUGGGUCAAUAGUGAAAGACGGUUUUGCUGUCACUUCUAGAUGGAUCCGCGCCGCAUUAGCUAGUUGGUAAGGUAACGGCUUACCAAGGCAACGAGGCGUAGCCGACCUGAGAGGGUGAUCGGCCACACUGGAACUGAGACACGGUCCAGACUCCUACGGGAGGCAGCAGUAGGGAAUCUUCCGCAAUGGGCGAAAGCUUGACGGAGCAACGCCGCGUGAGUGAUGAAGGUCUUCGGAUCGUAAAACUCUGUUAUUAGGGAAGAACAAAUGUGUAAGUAACUAUGCACGUCUUGACGGUACCUAAUCAGAAAGCCACGGCUAACUACGUG
rnacentral:rRNA from 1 species